CUCGAGCGCCAGCGAGAGAGCGUUGCCGCAGGCAACGACCCGAAGGGCGAAGCGCGCAGCGCUGAGUAAUCCUUCCCCCACCACCA
rnacentral:sRNA from 1 species